AGAUUCCCCCUUCUAUGUCUCCAAGACAGAAGAACAGCAAAAUAUGCCUGGUCUAACCUCGAAGGAUGCGAGAGCUAAGAGGAGCAGGCCCUGACCUGGAUCCGACCCUACGGGUCCCUUCCGAGAACCCUCACCAGGUGUACCGUAACCCUGAGGAUCCAACCUUGCGCACCCUGGACUUCAGAGAGCCUCCACGGGUGAAUCCUGACCUGGCAGGCAAUGGCCAGAAGGCAAAGGUUAGAAGGCAAAGACCUGUUUGUUUCCGCCGCCCAGUGGGGGCCGCUUGUGCAAGGCUGAGGGAUAGAUACAGCUCCUCCUUCAUCUCCCUGGGGCACAGGCUGGAGGAUUGUGCUCCACAGCAAAGGUUCCUGGACCUGUUGGUGAUCCCUCAGCGACUGCCAUCUGAAAUCCAGUUUGGGGGCUGGGGAAAGGCUCAGUGACUAAGAGUGCUUUCUAUGUACGUAUGGAGACCUAAGUUUGGAUCCCUGCACGCACACCAAAAAGCAGGCAAAUGUGCUUGCUGCCAAGCUGGAGAAACUGAGUUUGAUCCUUGGAACCCUCACGGUGGAAGAAGAGAGUUGACUAUUGGAGUUGGCCACUAUAGAAGGCACAGACCACACCCCAACACAUACAUAACACACAUACAAUAAAGAAAUAGAAGUCAAGUUCUUAAAUUAAAUAGGAAUUUAAUUAGCAUAAGCAUGGACAGAGUCUAUGGGAGCACAGACUCCUCAGCC
ensembl:antisense Gm11789 predicted gene 11789